rnacentral:rRNA from 1 species
AGUGAACGCUGGCGGUAGGCCUAACACAUGCAAGUCGAACGGCAGCACAGUAAGAGCUUGCUCUUACGGGUGGCGAGUGGCGGACGGGUGAGGCAUACAUCGGAAUCUACUUUUUCGUGGGGGAUAACGUAGGGAAACUUACGCUAAUACCGCAUACGACCUACGGGUGAAAGCAGGGGAUCUUCGGACCUUGCGCGAUUGAAUGAGCCGAUGUCGGAUUAGCUAGUUGGCGGGGUAAAGGCCCACCAAGGCGACGAUACGUAGCUGAUCUGAGAGGAUGAUCAGCCACACUGGAACUGAGACACGGUCCAGACUCCUACGGGAGGCAGCAGUGGGGAAUAUUGGACAAUGGGCGCAAGCCUGAUCCAGCCAUACCGCGUGGGUGAAGAAGGCCUUCGGGUUGUAAAGCCCUUUUGUUGGGAAAGAAAAGCAGCAGGUGAAUACCCCGCUGUUCUGACGGUACCCAAAGAAUAAGCACCGGCUAACUUCGUG